UUGAGUUUUGAUGUAUGUUUUUGAAGACACAAAUUACGUAUCCCGUUACGCAGAGUCUCUAUCUCCAUUAAAUUGGUUCUCCUUAUAAAUCAAAUUUGAAUAACAAUGUUUUUUCUCGUGACUUCAUUUUCUAAAUGAGGCAGCCGGUAGACAUUUAUGGGUUCCUUCAAUCAUCCGCAGGCAGAGGCAGGGAGCCAAAUUAAAGUGUAAUACAUGGUGGCAGGCAUGUUAUUAAUUAAUUUAGAUGCACAAAUCAAAUACAUGAGUUAAAUGCUUUAUUCUUAUUUUAAAAAAAUAAAUGAUUAUCUACGGUCAGAUUUACCUUUUUCUAUUUUUAUUUGUAUUUUAACUAAUGUACUUGUCUUCACUUAGUGAGAUUAUAAGUAUAUUUAGGAGUUAAUUGGUCUGGCCCCUACCGAUGAGAUUAACUUCUGGCAAUUGUGAGCCUGAAUUUAUUUAUUUAUCAUUAAUCACAAUAAUAAAUGAAGGAAAAGAAGAGAUAAUUUUUUUUGUUGUUGGCAAGGCAUGGGCAAUUUGCACCACUUGGGCAGUUGGUUCCUUUAUUAAUGAAUAUUUAGGACCACGCCAGCAACAAUAAGAUUGUCAUCUUGUGAACUUUCAUUUAUACACGCAUUACUAUCCUUUUUAAUUUAUAGUCACCCCAACUGUUUCACUACAUGCGUAUCCUUUUUUCAUAAAUAAUUCACCCUCAAACUUUUUGUGAAGUAAUUGUUUUAGUAGAGAUCAAAUUUCUUAUUUUAUAAGCACUCACUAAUCAGAUCUGUAGAUUUCUAUUUUUGCCGUUGUAUGAUAAAAUACUUGAACGAAAUCAAGAAAUAGGCCAUAAACACUUGAAAAGUAACUACAUUAAAACCUUGAUAAUAUUACUCGUUACUGGUUUUGCUUAUCAAACAUAUUAUCACUCUCAAGUCACUCAUAAAUGUGUUGCCUUUCUAUUUUUGUGAUCUGUUAUUUGUAGUUUUGAUGAUAUGACAAACUCAGGGACCUUGUAAAGGUAUCAGAUUCUCAAAAUGAGUUUUGAAGAUGUAACGAUCUCAGGGACCUCAUAAAGGUACCAGGUUCCCAACAUGACUAGCUUGUUGACUGCUAGCUGGAGAAGGUACAGAAAGUGGGUGCACAUUUCCCAACGGCGUCAAAAAAGUCAGACCUCUCCAACCAAUGACUAGAGUUUAAGGAAAGAGACUUGUCUAUACAAAAGUCACUUUCCUAAACAUUAUUCCUUAGUUUUUGCAACUUGACAAAGCAUUUGCAAGAACGUUUGUAAAGGCUAUAGAAAAUCAAAGUGAAAAAUUAUUCAAACAACGACUGAAAUUCCAGGAGCAUAUAGUGUAGUUGUUUAAGAAUAUAUUCUCGUGGUCUUAGAUUGUAAACUAUUCCUAAAUCUAUAAAGGAAUCAGUUUGUGGUUUCUAAAUUCUAAGUUGUCUAGAAGGGAUAGCUUAAUGAGUAGAAUAACUUCUACUUAGGCUUAUCAAGCAGUAGAGUUAUUGCUUGAACAUGAGAUUAAACAUUUUUUCUCACAUUUGUGUAACUGGUUUUACUAUUUCUUGUAAAGAUUAGUGAAACAGUUGUGAAAAUCCUGUGAGACAGGUCGUGGCUUUACUCCCUUAAGCAAGGAGGUUUCCACGUAAAAUUGUUGUGUUGUUAAACUGCAUUUACUUUCUGUUCAUACUUGUUUGUGUGUCAAGGGACCUGGUCCAUUUACUGAUAAGUGGAGGCAUAUAUUCUAUCAUGAUCAAUGAUCACAAAGCCUGGACUAUGUUCCGGCAUGAUGCCACAUUAAUAUGUUCGAACCUAAAUAAGCCAAAAAAAUGACCUAAAUAAGUCACUAUUUUAGAAAGUAAUUAAAAUAGACUUAGUAGAAAAAAAAUUGUUUUAUCCAAUAUUUCAAAUAUUUCCCGUUUGUUUCGU
rnacentral:lncRNA from 1 species